rnacentral:rRNA from 1 species
AUUGAACGCUGGCGGCAGGCCUAACACAUGCAAGUCGAACGAGUGGCGGACGGGUGAGUAAUGUCUGGGAAACUGCCCGAUAGAGGGGGAUAACUACUGGAAACGGUGGCUAAUACCGCAUACCAUCGGAUGAACCCAUAUGGGAUUAGCUAGUAGGUUAGGUAACGGCUUACCUAGGCGACGAUCCCUAGCUGGUCUGAGAGGAUGAUCAGCAACACUGGGACUGAGACACGGCCCAGACUCCGACGGGAGGCAGCAGUGGGGAAUAUUGCACAAUGGGCGCAAGGCUGAUGCAGCCAUGCCGCGUGUAUGAAGAAGGCCAUAGGGUUGUAAAGUACUUUCAGUGGGGAGGCGUUACCGACAGAAGAAGCACCGGCUAACUCCGUGCCAGCAGCCGCGGUAAUUC